rnacentral:rRNA from 1 species
AUGAAGCUGGAUUCGCUAGUAAUCGCGCAUCAGCCACGGCGCGGUGAAUACGUUCCCGGGCCUUGUACACACCGCCCGUCAAGCCAUGGGAGCCGGGAGUGCCUGAAGUACGUGACCGCAAGGAGCGUCCUAGGGUAAGACCGGUGACUGGGGCUAAGUCGUAACAAGGUAGC